UUUGAUAUCCGAUUGGGUUUACGUUUCGGCCGUAGAUUUGGAAUGUUUUAUUUCUAUCAAAG
rnacentral:tRNA from 1 species